UUAAAACUCAAAGGAAUUGACGGGGACCCGCACAAGCGGUGGAUGAUGUGGAUUAAUUCGAUGCAACGCGAAAAACCUUACCUACCCUUGACAUGGCAGGAAUUCCGAAGAGAUUUGGAAGUGCUCGAAAGAGAACCUGCACACAGGUGCUGCAUGGCUGUCGUCAGCUCGUGUCGUGAGAUGUUGGGUUAAGUCCCGCAACGAGCGCAACCCUUGUCAUUAGUUGCUACGAAAGGGCACUCUAAUGAGACUGCC
rnacentral:rRNA from 1 species